GAUGAACGCUGGCGGCGUGCCUAACACAUGCAAGUCGAACGAAGCACUGUGGAAAGAUUCUUCGGAUGAUAGAAACAGUGACUGAGUGGCGGACGGGUGAGUAACGCGUGGGUAACCUGCCUCAUACAGGGGGAUAACAGUUAGAAAUGACUGCUAAUACCGCAUAAGCGCACAGCAUCGCAUGAUGCAGUGUGAAAAACUCCGGUGGUAUGAGAUGGACCCGCGUCUGAUUAGCUAGUUGGUGGGGUAACGGCCUACCAAGGCGACGAUCAGUAGCCGACCUGAGAGGGUGACCGGCCACAUUGGGACUGAGACACGGCCCAAACUCCGACGGGAGGCAGCAGUGGGGAAUAUUGCACAAUGGGGGAAACCCUGAUGCAGCGACGCCGCGUGAGCGAAGAAGUAUUUCGGUAUGUAAAGCUCUAUCAGCAGGGAAGAAAAUGACGGUACCUGACUAAGAAGCACCGGCUAAAUACGUGCCAGCCGCCGCGGUAAAAC
rnacentral:rRNA from 1 species